UCUCUGGAGAACUAAGUGCUAAUACAUUGGCAAGUAUGGACUGGAAGACCGCUCUGUCCUUGAUAUGUCUGCUUGCUUCUUCAACUUCAAUAACACCUUCUACAGCUCAGAAUAAUACAACCUCACCUACUUCUACGACAGCAUCUCCAACAGAACCCACUACAACCACAACUACAUCAACUACUACAUCCACAACAGAACCCAC